AUGUUGACUUAAGCAGCACAUACAUUGAAAUUGUAAUGGUACAGAGAUUAACGUGGCCAUGCACAAGGAUGACAUGCAAAUUCCUGAAGCAUUACAUAUUUUU
rnacentral:snRNA from 1 species